rnacentral:rRNA from 1 species
CGCCUGUUUAUCAAAAACAUGUCCUUUUGUAAGUUUAUUUAAGGUCUGACCUGCCCAAUGAUUAUUUUAAUGGCCGCGGUAUUCUGACCGUGCGAAGGUAGCAUAAUAAUUUGUCUUUUAAUUGGAGGCUUGUAUGAACGGUUGGACGAGGGAUAAGCUUUCUUAAUCUGAUUUUUAAGAAUUUAAUUUUUGAGUUAAAAAGCUCAAAUGUUUUUAUGGGACGAGAAGACCCUAUAGAACUUUAUUAUUUUUAAAAAAAGGGUAUUUUGGUUUAUUUUAUUCUCUUAUUUUAGAAAUAAUUUCGUUGGGGUGACGUAGGAAUUUAGUUAACUUCCUAUUAUUUAUAUCAUAAAUUAAUGUGUAAUUGAUCCAGAUUUUUUGAUUAUAAGAUUAAGUUACCUCAGGGAUAACAGCGUAAUUCUACUGGAGAGUUCCUAUUGAUAGUAGAGUUUGCGACCUCGAUGUUGAAUUAAGUUAAGUUUCGGGUGUAGAAGCUCGUAUGAUUAGGUCUGUUCGACCUUUAAAUACUUACAUGAUCUGAGUUCAAACCGGAGA